UCCCUGCACCUUGCACUCUCUGGACAGCCUAUAUUCCUCCUACAACCCGUUCUCAUCUUCUGUUGCAGGACCAGCAUGAAGAAAAAGCUUUAAAACAGUGGAACACAAAAGGAAACAGAGGAUGAAUCGCCUCGGCCUCACCAUGCAAUCUACCUCCAAGCAUUCUUAAUUGACAUCUUCCUUGCUACAGUUUAAAUGGAUUACACUUUGAUCUGCCCACCCUUGAGAACAGCACAGUAAUGAAGUUGAACACACAGCACAAUAAUUUCCUCUUUUCUUCCCAUAAAUGUUUGCAUAUUUGUUGAAGUCUGCUACACCUUCUUAGUUACUUUCUCUGGGUUAAAUUAUACCACUCAUUCAAUCCUCUCAAGUAGAUUAUGUUUUCCAGACCACUGGCUGCUUCUGUUCCUCUCCUUUGGACAGUUUCUUAUUGAUCAGCCACUUCUGGAGAUUAGUCCCUUGUUCUGCUGUCACAACAAGGCAAACAAGGUUACCCAGGGAGUCACCAGAGUACACGGCUGUUACACAAGAAGGAGACACUGCGGUGAUUUUUCUGCUAAUGAUGAAGAAAUUAGUUUCCUUUCAGAAACAGGCCAUCUCUGUCAAGUUGGCCAAUGUUGAAAAACGGUCUCUAAAGGAAAUAAAUUCAUCAUUUAUACACCCA
rnacentral:lncRNA from 1 species